ensembl:ncRNA K03H6.9 ncRNA
UGAAUCAGUCAAGUUUGAACUGAGGUAUACGCGCUCAAAGCCGGCAGCGAGCGGCGCGGUCGCGUCGCGGUCGACUGGGGAUUUCAAGUGUGUGUAUCUCGGCUCUCAGUAGCGCUAAACGUUUCAAAACUUCAGGGUUUAUUAAAAACA